GAUGGUGACGAUAGAGAGGAGGAAACACCUGUAACCAUCUCGAACACAGAAGUUAAGCUCCUUCUCGCCGAUGGUACUGCAUGUGUAGACGUGUGGGAGAGUAGGUAUCGCCAUCC
rnacentral:rRNA from 1 species